rnacentral:rRNA from 1 species
CAGUAGCCGCGGUAAAACGGAGGGUGCAAGCGUUAUCCGGAUUUAUUGGGUUUAAAGGGUCCGUAGGCGGACUUAUAAGUCAGUGGUGAAAGCCUGUCGCUUAACGAUAGAACUGCCAUUGAUACUGUAAGUCUUGAGUAUAUUUGAGGUAGCUGGAAUAAGUAGUGUAGCGGUGAAAUGCAUAGAUAUUACUUAGAACACCAAUUGCGAAGGCAGGUUACCAAGAUAUAACUGACGCUGAGGGACGAAAGCGUGGGUAGCGAACAGGAUUAGAUACCCCCGUAGUCCCUGUCUCUUAUAC